UUCGGAUUGCAGUCUGCAACUCGAGUGCAUGAAGCUGGAAUCGCUAGUAAUCGCGGAUCAGAAUGCCGCGGUGAAUACGUUCCCGGGUCUUGUACACACCGCCCGUCACACCAUGGGAGCCGACAACGCCCGAAGUCAGUGACCUAACCGAGAGGGAGGAGCUGCCGAAGGCGGGGUUGGUAACUGGGGUGAAGUCGUAACAAGGUACC
rnacentral:rRNA from 1 species